rnacentral:tRNA from 1 species
UUAGUUGUAACUUAAUUUAAAGUAAUUCACUGUUAAUGAAUAAAUGGACAAUCCCAACUAAA